rnacentral:piRNA from 1 species
UGGAAGUUGUCCCACAAGGAUGGUGUAAUA